rnacentral:rRNA from 1 species
CACGCCCUAAACCGAAUGCGCGUUAGGUGUAUCGGUGACCACGAGUCACCGAGGUGCCGAAGGGAAACCGUGAAACGUGCCGCCUGGGAAGUACGGUCGCAAGGCUGAAACUUAAAGGAAUUGGCGGGGGAGGCACCACAACGGGUGGAGCCUGCGGUUUAAUUUGGACUCAACGCCGGGAAGCUCACCGGAUAAGACAGCGGAAUGAUUGCCGGGCUGAAGACCCUGCAUGACCAGCUGAGAGGAGGUGCAUGGCGUAGUCGUGU